rnacentral:rRNA from 1 species
UGGUAGUCCACGCCGUAAAUGAUGAGUCCUUGGUGUUAGGGGGUUUCCGCCCCUUUGUGCUGCAGUUAACGCAUUAAGCACUCCGCGUGGGGAGUACGGCCGCAAGGCUGAAACUCAAAAGAAUUGACGGGGGCCCCCAACAAGCGGUGGAGCAUGUGGUUUAAUUCGAAGCAACGCGAAGAACCUUACCAGGUCUUGACAUCCUUCGACAGCGGCAGAGAUGCCGUGUUCCCUUCGGGGACAGAGUGACAGGUGGUGCAUGGUUGUCGUCAGCUCGUGUCGUGAGAUGUUGGGUUAAGUCCCGUAACGAGCGCAACCCUUAAUUUUAGUUGCCAGCAUUAAGUUGGGCACUCUAAGGUGACUGCCGGUGACAAACCGGAGGAAGGCGGGGAUGACGUCAAAUCAUCAUGCCCCUUAUGACCUGGGCUACACACGUGUUACAAUGGAUGGAACAAAGGGACGCGAAGCGGCGACGUGAUAGCCAAUCCCACAAAACCAUUCCCAGUUCGGAUUGCAGGCUGCAACUCGCCUGUAUGAAGCCGGAAUCGCUAGUAAUCGCGGAUCAGAAUGCCGCGGUGAAUACGUUCCCGGGCCUUGUACACACCGCCCGUCACACCACGAGAGUUGGCAACACCCGAAGUCGGUGAGGCAACCAUUUUGGAGCCAGCCGCCGAAGGUGG